rnacentral:misc_RNA from 1 species
GAUGAAGAACGCAGCGAAAUGCGAUAAGUAAUGUGAAUUGCAGAGUUCAGUGAAUCAUCGAAUCUUUGAACGCACAUUGCGCCCGUUAGUAUUCUGACGGGCAUGCCUGUCCGAGCGUCAUUUCAACCCUCAAGCACGGCUUGGUGUUGGGCGACGUCCUCUUUGGGGACGCGCCUCGAAACGCUCGGCGGCGUGGCACCGGCUUUAAGCGUAGCAGAAUCUUUCGCUUUGGAAGUCGGGGCCCCGUCUGCCGGAAGACCUGCUCGCAAGGUUGACCUCGGAUCAGGCAGGGAUACCCGCUGAACUUAAGCAUAUCAAUAAGCGGAGGA